GAUGAACGCUGGCGGCGUGCCUAAUACAUGCAAGUCGAGCGAACGGACGAGAAGCUUGCUUCUCUGAUGUUAGCGGCGGACGGGUGAGUAACACGUGGAUAACCUACCUAUAAGACUGGGAUAACUUCGGGAAACCGGAGCUAAUACCGGAUAAUAUUUUGAACCGCAUGGUUCAAAAGUGAAAGACGGUCUUGCUGUCACUUAUAGAUGGAUCCGCGCUGCAUUAGCUAGUUGGUAAGGUAACGGCUUACCAAGGCAACGAUGCAUAGCCGACCUGAGAGGGUGUUCUGCCACCCUUGAACUGAGACACGGUCCAGACUCCUACGGGAGGCAGCAGUAGGGAAUCUUCCGCAAUGGGCGAAAGCCUGACGGAGCAACGCCGCGUGAGUGAUGAAGGUCUUCGGAUCGUAAAACUCUGUUAUUAGGGAAGAACAUAUGUGUAAGUAACUGUGCACAUCUUGACGGUACCUAAUCAGAAAGCCACGGCUAACUACGUG
rnacentral:rRNA from 1 species